CAACCGUGUAGGGGUAAACGUGAGAAACCCGAAAGGUCGAAGGGAGAAAUUCAUUCGCGUUUCGCCGUUGGCGUGAGACGGUCGUGUGACGGAAAACGUUCGCGUUUUCCGCACCUUUCGUUUUUCGAUCCGAUAGCGAACGCGUGCACUUUUCUCCUGGUAGGACGUCGCGAUCCGUUGGGUGUCGGUCUACGGCUCGCGGUGGAGCCCGGAUGUACGGCUUGCCGUUACGUUCGGACCCGUGUGUCCCGGCUGACUCGCUCGACGGUAUACGAAAGGUUUAAGGCCGCUCUUUGAGCGUUCGGCUCGUCGCAAGCGCGUCAGAUGUGUCGGUAAUCGGACCUAGUGCCGGUUCUGACCUCUGGCGACUGUUGGCGGCGAAGUUCUCGAACAGACCUUCGACCGAUCUGCGACGCUAUAGCUUUGGGUACUUUCAGGACCCGUCUUGAAACACGGACCAAGGAGUCUAGCAUGUGCGCAAGUCAUUGGGAAUCACUAAACCUAAAGGCGCAAUGAAAGUAAAGGUCCGCCUUGCGCGGACUGAGGGAAGACGAGCGGUUUACCCUUAAAAGUGACCGCUCCGCAUUCCCGGGGCGUCUCAUUCUCAUCGCGAGAAGAGGCGCACCAAGAGCGUACACGCUGGGACCCGAAAGAUGGUGAACUAUGCCUGGUCAGGACGAAGUCAGGGGAAACCCUGAUGGAGGUCCGUAGCGAUUCUGACGUGCAAAUCGAUCGUCGGAACUGG
rnacentral:rRNA from 1 species